rnacentral:rRNA from 1 species
CCUACGGGAGGCAGCAGUGAGGAAUAUUGGUCAAUGGACGAGAGUCUGAACCAGCCAAGUAGCGUGAAGGAUGACUGCCCUAUGGGUUGUAAACUUCUUUUAUAUGGGAAUAAAAUGUUCCACGUGUGGGAUUUUGUAUGUACCAUAUGAAUAAGGAUCGGCUAACUCCGUGCCAGCAGCCGCGGUAAUACGGAGGAUCCGAGCGUUAUCCGGAGUUAUUGGGUUUAAAGGGAGCGUAGGUGGAUUGUUAAGUCAGUUGUGAAAGUUUGCGGCUCAACCGUAAAAUUGCAGUUGAAACUGGCAGUCUUGAGUACAGUAGAGGUGGGCGGAAUUCGUGGUGUAGCGGUGAAAUGCUUAGAUAUCACGAAGAACUCCGAUUGCGAAGGCAGUUCACUGGACUGCAACUGACACUGAGGCUCGAAAGUGUGGGUAUCAAACAGGAUUAGAUACCCGAGUAGUC